ensembl:lncRNA
AAACUUAAUAAGAAACAUUACUUAGUUUAACACUGGUUAAUGGUGUCUAACGAAAUAUUCCAACAUUGAUGUGAUGUUAAUGUAUGACAAUUAUAUAAUGUCAAGAGGCUAUAGCGACACCCCGCCAAUGUGUACCUGGGUGGUGUAGUUGUUAAAGGCAUAACCUUUCACGUGGGCAACCCGGGUUCGAAUCUCGUGAUCAACGCUUUUUAUUGCGGGCCUGCUGAACUAGGCUUGCCUGGUUUCUUGUUAUGUAGGUCCAGGUAAUUCACUUCAGUUGCGCCACAUGGGCACAAUGAGUAAAGAACUGCGCAAGCUGUCGAACAAGAUGGCCACAGUGCUCGCUUGUGUCCAAGCAAAUGGCUCGGUGAGAGAAGUGUCGUUCCCUAGUGGUCAGGGUAUUCAGCUCCCCUUGGACAACAUGGACGACCUGCGGCAGUUUGAUCCACAGUGAGGCAAGACACGGAUGUUCAGGACAAACUGGUUCGCUGUUUGGCUGUUAAGGCUGGGAGGGAGCUGAAGUACACGGUGUGGCGGACUGCUACCGUGCAUCCUUACAAAUGCUCUCGCUGUCUUGAUCACCUGGUUGUGGUUAAUUUAUAAUGACUUUUUCUCAAAAUCAUGUCAGACCAUUUAACACAAACAAAAGUGCUGACUAACUCUGAACAAAGGACAGUAGAUAGGAUGUGGUGCUUGGCCCAUUACUGAUGGGCCCCACACCCUACCCACUCAUCCUGUCCAUGUGACUGUCAUUGAUUCUAUGAAUAGACCCAUGGACCAUAGGUUGGAAAAUACCAUUGUGAGAAAGCAUGUCUUUUCCUGAUAAUGUAGGUGUAUUUUAGUUCCAUACUCUUGUUAAAGAACACAAUACAGAGGAAUGGUACUUUGCUGUCUUGUGCAAUAUGAGGUACCAAAUAGCAAACAUCUGGUAUCUAUUAUUGAGGAGCCCCAGACAAUACGUUAAGUGUGUGUGGAGCCAAGACCUCAAGAGGGGACACUAUACCAGGCCAUAUAAGGUUAGGAUAUAGAACUUAUGUGGUUUGAAGACUGCCAGAUAGUGGAGGGGAUGUGCAGGAGGUUUGGUCUAAUAUAAAUAUGCUGUUAAAGACAAAGACUUUUGGAGAACACGUAAGAACUACGCAAGGUCAACAUCUUGGACUCAUUCAAAUAAAGAUGGUUCACCCCUGACUUGUAGGUUUCCUGGUUUUGGUCAUGGAUCCUAAGUGGACAGAAUUAAUCACAUAGUAUUGAGAAAAAAAUCUGUAUUUUAACCUCACAUUCAAUCUUUGGUUUCUAAUACAAAAUUUGGGAGUAUAGACCCAAGAGAAGAUUAAGUAUUUCUGUACCAAUAAUAAUGGGUCUAUUUACCCUAAUAACUAGACUAUUUGACAAGUAGGUCUCUUUUCUAUCACUUAGCACUGUGUAUGCAUGAUCAUGGCUGUCUGUAUUUAUGCACUCUCGGAAGCAUACUCAUAUUGAUAUAUCUCAGACUUUAAGGGAAAUGAUCCCGGCACAGAUUUCUGUUUACGCAGUAUUGAUUGUUGGGGCUACAGGUCGGGAGAACAAAUUUACAAAGUAUACAUCUUUGCUCCAACCUUAGUUGACAUAAAAGCCAACUUUGCCACAUUCAUUGCAUUGUUCCAGGGCACAGCGAAGCUAAUAGUCAGAUCGUUCCACCAAGGUGUCAUGAAGGGAGUUGUUUAUCGAUGAUUCACAAAAGGACAAAGUUGGAAAUAGUCUUAGACUACUAGGAAAAACAUACCACCUCAGUUUCCUGUAUGCUGUGGUGUCUUAGACAUAUCUCUCUUGGGUUCAUUUUUUCUGAUGUAUAUGGUUCACAGACCAUGGGACAGAGAGCUAUGUCUUCAUGCAGGCUGCCUUGGAGGAAUAGGAGGUGCGGAAAUGUCCACAACUCUGUGACGACUGCUCUGACAGGCCUUAUACUAUAGCACUCCAAUAAACCUUUUUACUCGUCCUUUUUUUUUGCUGUCUCACUGUCUCUUUUUUCCUUGCUUUCUUAUUCUCUCUCUGUAGGAGUUGACUUAAGGAUGCCCCACGUGGGACUACACCAAAGUGGCACUGUUGUUGUUCCUACAAUGCUAAUUGUAAAUCUCAGAACCGCGACACGAAGGCUCUGCUCUCACAAGACACACAAUAACAGGAAACAGAUUGAAACACUGACUGCCACUAUGCUGAGUGAUGGUUCAUUUAUUCUGCCUUUUAAGAAUAGGUGGCUCCUGGGGACCCGGGUGUGAGAGCCACUCUGAUAUGGAUGAAAUGUGACAUAACUGCUUCUCUCAACGUUGUUAGUCCCCCAGCCACCCAGACAUGGCCUUGAUAUGGUCUUGGAAUUAAGGGAAUCAGAAGAAACUACGAGGUCUCGCUGGAUAAAGUUACUCAAUCCAGAAAUUCCAUCUGCCUUUCUUUUGUGUUGUAAGUGCUAAGCUACUUUGAAUUGAGUCAAAUAGUGGUGAUGACACACUUAAAUGUUCAUUAAACUUUAUUUGCACAAACCCCUAAAGGACGUUUGCUCAUUCUUGCACAUUAUUAUUUCCGUAGGCCAAUACUUUAUUUGUACUUACACGUUGUAACUCUGAAACUAUAUACCAUUUCACUAAUUUUACAUAUUGACUCAUAAAUGUUUUGUUCUAUAUUAUGUAAACUGAUUCUGGUAAUGUCCGCUGGAAGAAUAGCUCUGUAUGGGGCCAGGUGCUGGUGUCUGACGCUAAUUGGGAAUCUCUGUGCCAGAAUUUAGGUGAUAUGGAGACUCAUUUUAUGUUGCGACCCACUAUGGUGAAAGAUCAGAGAGUAGUGCUAGUCAUAUUAGCAAUGUUCAAGGUUCCAAGUACUGUAUCUCUAACUAAUGUAAAAAAAAGUUAUGACUCAAAGCCGGUUACCAAAUGUUUCUGAGGUGAUAGACAUUUUGAAAUGUAUUGCUCGCUGUGCCAGUGGGAUCCAAUGCCCUCUCUCACAAAUUUUUAGCUUUGACACCUGUUUGUUGUUUUUGCCCUUACUUGUGUUCCUGAUCACUGUCUUUAUUUAAGUUCCUCCUUUCCUAUUGUAUCUUCUCGAUCAUUAUUUGGUUCUCAUGCCACUGUAAUGUUGAUUUGUGUUUUUGUGUGUAGUUUUUGUCACUUCUUA